rnacentral:misc_RNA from 1 species
GAAAUGCGAUAAGUAAUGUGAAUUGCAGAAUUCAGUGAAUCAUCGAAUCUUUGAACGCACAUUGCGCCCCUUGGUAUUCCGAGGGGCAUGCCUGUUCGAGCGUCAUUUCAACCCUCAAGUAACGCUGUUGGUCGGGUCCCUCCAUUGGUUUGACCCGGCGGACACUGCUUGGCAUUGGGCCCCGCCCUUUCACUAUCGGGCGAGCCUGAAACCCAACGGCGGCUGUGCCUGGCCCCGAGCGUAGUCAAGUUACCCGCUCAGGUGGUUGGAUGCCGCGGCCCGUCGGAGAGUGUUGAUCUCGCACCUUUUGACCUCGGAUCAGGUAGGGAUACCCGCUGAACUUAA